rnacentral:misc_RNA from 1 species
UUUCCGUAGGUGAACCUGCGGAAGGAUCAUUACGUAUGGUAGGCCGGUCUGACCGGUUCUAUUCAACCCUGUUUUUUGCGCACCCUUUGUUUCCUCGGCAGGCUUGCCUGCCAGUAGGACCUUUUCAACCCUUCGUGUCAAAGCAAUCAGCGUCAAACAAACAAAACAAUGGUAACAACUUUCAACAACGGAUCUCUUGGUUCUG